rnacentral:rRNA from 1 species
GAUGAACGCUGGCGGCGUGCCUAAUACAUGCAAGUCGAGCGAACCACUUCGGUGGUGAGCGGCGAACGGGUGAGUAACACGUAGGUCAUCUGCCCAUCAGACGGGGACAACGAUUGGAAACGAUCGCUAAUACCGGAUAGGACGAAAGUUUAAAGGUGCUCUUGGCACCGCUGAUGGAUGAGCCUGCGGCGCAUUAGCUAGUUGGUAGGGUAAAGGCCUACCAAGGCGACGAUGCGUAGCCGACCUGAGAGGGUGAACGGCCACACUGGGACUGAGACACGGCCCAGACUCCUACGGGAGGCUG